CCACUAUAUCAUAUAGCUGCCAUACAAACUGAACGAUCGGAAUCAAGGACUUGUAUGGAAAACUUCCGCAUUUUACUACAUAUCUUCACGAAAUUUGAUCGGUGCACUAUAGCAUUUAGCUGCCAUACAAACUGAACGAUCGGAAUCAAUGGCUUGUAUGGAAAACUUCCGCAUUUUACUACAUAUCUUCACGAAAUUUGAUCGGUGCACUAUAGCAUUUAGCUGCCAUACAAACUGAACGAUCGGAAUCAAUGGCUUGUAUGGAAAACUUCCGCAUUUUACUACAUAUCUUCACGAAAUUUG